CCGCAAGGCUGAAACUCAAAGAAUUGACGUGGACCCGCACAAGCGGUGGAGCAUGUGGUUUAAUUCGAAGCAACGCGAAGACCUUACCAGGACUUGACAUCUGAUGCAUACCCUAGAGAUAGGCGAAAUUCUUCGGAACAUAAGACAGGUGGUGCAUGGUUGUCGUCAGCUCGUGUCGUGAGAUGUUGGGUUAAGUCCCGCACGAGCGCAACCCUUAUCACUAGUUGCCAGCAUUCAGUUGGGGACUCUAGUGAGACUGCCGUGACAAACCGGAGGAAGGUGGGGAUGACGUCAAAUCAUCAUGCCCCUUAUGUCCUGGGCACACACGUGCUACAAUGGAUGAUACAGCGAGAAGCGAAGUCGCGAGGCCAAGCGGAUCUCUAAAGUCAUUCUCAGUUCGGAUUGUUCUCUGCAACUCGAGAGCAUGAAGCCGGAAUCGCUGUAAUCGUGGAUCAGCACGCCACGGUGAAUACGUUCCCGGGUCUUGCACACACCGCCCGU
rnacentral:rRNA from 1 species